rnacentral:lncRNA from 1 species
AGUUUGGGACCCCUAGCUCGAGCACCGGGAGGAAGCGUCAAACUCAAGUGGCCUCGAAAAGACCUUCGGUCAUGAACAAAAAAGGGCAAAUCAAUGCGGCGAUGACCAGAAACCUUCAAAUAAUGUCAACAUCAAAUAAGAUAAAAGCUGAAAGAAGCUCGGUAAACAAUAACUCAAAGCAAGAAUAGACAAGGUAAUGAGAAAAUUUCUUCUCAUUUCAUUAGUAAAGUGUGCAUUACAAAAUCUUUGAAGGCCAA